CCCUUAGAUGUUCUGGGCGGCCCGCGCACUACAAUGGCGUGUGCAGCGAGUGCCGAAGUAGAGUUUUCCGAGGUAUUCUUGCAAUGCUCGUUUUGAUGGGGAUAGACCCUUGCAACUGAUGGUUUUGAACGAGGAAUUCCUUGUAAGCAUGGUUUAUCAUCCGACGCUGAAUGCGUCCCUGCCCUUUGUACACACCGCCCGUCGCUCCUACCGAUGAGUCGUCCGGUGAAGUUCGUAGACCUCGUGAUCGCGGAUCACUGGGGGAAGCAAAAUGAACCUCGCGGUUUAGAGGAAGGAGAAGUCGUAACA
rnacentral:rRNA from 1 species